GAUGAACGCUGGCGGCGUGCCUAACACAUGCAAGUCGAACGGUGAAGGCGGAACUUGCUCUGCUGGAUCAGUGGCGAACGGGUGCGUAACACGUGAGCAAUCUGUCCCUGACUCUGGGCUAAGACCUGGAAAAGUCGUCUAAUACUGCGUACGAUCUGUGAAGGCCCCUUCAGCAGCUGGAAAGAAUUUCGGUCCGGGCAAAGCUAGGAGGCUAUCAGCUUGAUGGUGAAGUAAUGAGUCACCACGUCUUCGACGGGUAGCCGGCCUGAGAGGGUGGCCGGCCACACUGGUACUGAGAGACGGCCCAGUGUCCUACGAGAGGCAGCAGUGGGGAAUGUUGCACAAUGGGGGAAAGCCUGAUGCAGCAACGCCGCGAGAGGGACGACGUCCUUCGGGUGGUAAACCUCUUUUUGCAGGGAAGAAGCGAUAGUGACGGUACCUGCAGAAAAAGCGCCGGCUAACUACGUG
rnacentral:rRNA from 1 species